AUUUUAAUCUCUUAUUUCUUAUCAAAGGUGUUAUGUUUGGCCUAAUACCUGAGUGUAUGUUACUAACCUUGGGGGUUGAAAUGUGUAGAUAUAAAAACCUGUAAACCUUGAGAACAAGCAUUCUUUCGGUUGGCCCUGCUUGCGUUGUUUCAUGCUUCCUUCGCUACGGCGAUACCACAAAAGCUUUGUUCUGUAGGGUGCGCAGUACUAAAUCUAGCUGCACAUCAGACGCCACGAAGCAUGUCAGUGCAUUGACUUGAUACGAGAGAUUUCUUCUAGAGAUCUUCUAUAACACUCUCCGCAGUCCGUGGUCUCCCUUGCACUGUGUAUGUGUGGUCAGCAGCAAGGUUAUGUGAGGAUCGGACUGGCUGAGGUGACAAGACCCCUGGACCUGCAGCCCACGAUGGUCCUGGCUGUGAAAUCUCAUGGUUGACGUCCUGCUCUACCCAGUGGCGUAUCUAGAGCUACCUGCGCCCAUGGCAACCAAUGAGUCUGCGCCCCUGUUCAGGCACAUAUCGAGGACACAGUUGGUCAUGUUUUGAGGUGCUGUGGAAAGCCAAACUUUGUAAGCACAGCAUCACUCUUGAGUCGCGCAGUUUGCCCUGUACGAUCGAAACAGGCCUCCUCAAAGUGUCUGCUGCAGAGCACCGAAGAUUUAGAUGGGGCCCAAUUUUUGCGAUGCAUCUUCUGCACCCACUUCUUCAGCACGGCUGGGCGACUGUGAGGGGACCUGUAUAGCACAAGCACAUUGUGUCGAAAAUACAUAAAUAGAGCAGCCAAACAUAAUUUCUUAGUACCUAACAGCACCAGCGAAGUAGCGGUGCGAGCAAGCGCGAGUGUCACAUACAUGCGAUACGAAUAAACACUGUUUUUCCUCAAAAUAAAUAGCUUACCUGUGAAAAGUUAACCCC